AUUGAACGCUGGCGGCAUGCUUUACACAUGCAAGUCGAACGGCAGCACGGGGUAACCUGGUGGCGAGUGGCGAACGGGUGAGUAAUAUAUCGGAACAUAUCCGCGAGAGGGGGAUAACGUAGCGAAAGUUACGCUAAUACCGCAUAUUCUCUGAGGAGGAAAGGUGGGGAUCGCAAGACCUGCCGCUCACGGGGUGGCCGAUAUCGGAUUAGCUAGUUGGUGGGGUAAAGGCUCACCAAGGCGACGAUCCGUAGCUGGUCUGAGAGGACGACCAGCCACACUGGGACUGAGACACGGCCCAGACUCCUACGGGAGGCAGCAGUGGGGAAUUUUGGACAAUGGGGGCAACCCUGAUCCAGCCAUGCCGCGUGAGUGAAGAAGGCCUUCGGGUUGUAAAGCUCUUUCGGGUGAGAAGAAAAGGAAUGUGUUAAUAGCAUGUUCUGCUGACGGUAUCACCAUAGGAAGCACCGGUUAACUACGUGCCAGCCGCCGCGGUAA
rnacentral:rRNA from 1 species